rnacentral:rRNA from 1 species
UACGUAGGGGGCUAGCGUUGUCCGGAUUUAUUGGGCGUAAAGAGCGUGUAGGCGGCCUUUUAAGUCCUGCGUGAAAUCCUGCGGCUCAACCGCAGACGGUCGUGGGAAACUGGAAGGCUAGAGUGCGGGAGAGGAGAGUGGAAUUCCCGGUGUAGCGGUGAAAUGCGCAGAUAUCAGGAGGAACACCGGUGGCGAAGGCAGAUCUCUGGGCCGUAACUGACGCUGAGGAGCGAAAGCAUGGGGAGCGAACAGG